UACGAAGGGGGCUAGCGUUGCUCGGAAUCACUGGGCGUAAAGCGCACGUAGGCGGAUUGCUAAGUCAGGGGUGAAAUCCUGGAGCUCAACUCCAGAACUGCCUUUGAUACUGGCGACCUUGAGUCCGGGAGAGGUGAGUGGAACUGCGAGUGUAGAGGUGAAAUUCGUAGAUAUUCGCAAGAACACCAGUGGCGAAGGCGGCUCACUGGCCCGAUACUGACGCUGAGGCGCGAAAGCCAGGGUAGCGAACGGG
rnacentral:rRNA from 1 species